ACCUUUUAAUUCAUUGACACGGGACAACAAUCUGUGAGUUUUCCCAACUCUGAAAAACUCCACAAAUGUAUAUGAUGUAAGCAUAUCAUUUUUCUUACUUUAAUUUUUCUUUUUUUUUUCCCUCUUCCACCUUACCUUUCAAUUCUUGGUUUUUGGGCCACGCGAUUUUGGACGAUUUUUUCCAAAUCUGAAAAGAAAAAAUUAUUUAUCACUUUUUUAGAUGUUGUUGGGAUCAAAAAUCAAAGUAGAACUAAAAUUUUUAAAAAUUGCAACAUAUUUAGAAAAUGUAUACUUUUGAGAAGUUUGGCUCAUGUUUACAUUUUAGAAGCUCUGUAAUUAAUUUUUAAUAAAAAACAACUG
ensembl:antisense_RNA anr-56 ncRNA